GCGGGUGUAGCUCAACGGUAGAGUACGAGCUUCCCAUGCUCGGUGUUGCGGGUUCGAUCCCCGUCACCCGCUCCA
rnacentral:tRNA from 1 species